ensembl:lncRNA
UGUAGCCAAGCAGAGAGUGAACCACUCUAGUGGUUAUCUAGGCUGGAAUGGGCUCAAUUCCUAGAGGACUUUUGAAGGAAUGAGGGGGUUGGAAUGGCUGGUGGAUAGUAUCUGACAGGGUAGAACAGGCUGUAGAGAUAAGUAAACUCCAGCAUCCCAGUGGCUUAGCAUAACAGAAGUUUACUUCACCAUCAUAAAGUCUGAUGCAGGUUGGAGGGAGUUCUCCAUCUGGCCACUUGGAUCCGUGUUCCCACAUUCCUCCAUCUUGCGAGGCCUCCAACUCAUGCAUGGCCUCCAAGGUUGCUGUGACAAGGGACAGAGAGACUACAGAGGUGUUUAUUUAACUUUACCAACUGAGAAGUGACACACCACUUCUGCUCGUUGUCCAUCGACCGGUGUCUGAGCUCACCAUCACAGUGAAUAAACAGCUCAAAAGAGAAGGCAGGAUCUGGCUCUACAGCUUUGCUUUACACUCAAGUUCAAAGAAAAUGGAGAUUUUCCUCCUGCACUUUAUGUAGAAAUAGCCUCAGUGGAGAACUCGAAUCUACUGGUGGAAAAGAGACGGCCUCGUGCACCAUCGCCAGCUUCUUUGACCAUCAACUUAGAUAAGGUUUUGUCUUGAAAUAUAAAGAGGCUUGUGUGGGUUUCAAGAAUGAGAGGACUCUUUGUUUCUUCUCAUCUUGGGCCAGCUCCUUUAGGGAAUGGAAGGAUAAAGAAAGGAGAUGGGAUUGCCAGAGCCAGAAGCCAGGACUACCUGACAGGAGCCACAGCCACGAGGAGGACUGCUCAGAAAAAGGGAGUCUACUAGCAAAGGAGUUGGAAGACCACAGCGUAUACUCCAGCAUGGGUUGUUUCUCCAGGAAGCUGGCAGGUAGAUUCUACUGCUGUGCUUCUUCUACAGGUGAGAAAACAAAGGCCAUAGAAGGUGAAGUAACAGGGUCACAAAAAGCUUAAGUAACUUGUUCAAGAUCACAGAGCUAAAAAGUGACAGAGGCAAGAUUUGAAACCAGGAAGGCUGACAGAGCUCCUGCUCUCAACACCUGCGAUGGGACCUUGGGCACAUUUCUUCACUUUGCCGCAAUCAGCUCCUUCUUGGCCCUGAGAAGGGACCUCCUUCCACCUGGUCUGGGCUGGAGAAGCAGUGUCAGGACUGUCUGCAAUAUCAAGAGUGGCACCAGGCAUGCAGAGUUGCCGAUCAGCACUUCAUGGACACUUCUGAACUUAGAUUGUCUACUGAGUGGCCUGUGGCAAAAAAAAGAGGUUCUGAAUUCCCUUUGUUCUCCCCUUUUAUGUUGCCCAAAGGAAAACCAAAGCAAAAAACACCCUUUGAAGCUGUCUUCUAUAUGAAAAAAUAAACAGACCCCUUUGCAAUGAGAGCCUCGGAGCAGGAUUUCAGUAAAGCUGCCCUGAUUGCCAGUGCCCUGAUGAUGACUGCCCCAUGAAAGGAGGAUGGCUACAGAGCCUGCAGCCAGAGCCAACUCUUUACAUUUUUUUAUCCCAUUCACCAAAUUCUGUUCCUGACAAUUUCCAUUCUUUUAAGCCACACCAAUGAGAUUCUUUGAGCAUCCUUUACAUAAUAAAAAGUCAAUUAGUAUGCUAUUUCUUUCUUUCUUUUUUCUUUCUUUCAUUCUUUUUUUUUUUGGUGAGGAAUAUUGGCCCUAAGCUAACAUCUGUGCCAAUCUUCCUCUAUUUUGUAUAUGGGAUGCCACCACAGCAUGGCUUGAUGAGUGGUGUGUAGGUCCACACCCAGAAUCUGAACCCACAAACCCCAGGCCACCAAAGUGAAGCAUGUGAACUUAACCACUAUGCUACCAGGCUGGCCCCAAUAUGCUAACUAUUAAUAAGCUUGAUUCUUGUAUUCAGAAUGGCAAUGGCUGUGCUUUGAAUUGAUGGAGAGGGAGGUGUGUGUAGGAAAGGAACUGAUCUGGGAUAGUGAUCUUUGCAGCAUCCUCUGGGGUCCUCGUAGAAUUUUUCUUGCCCAUCCAUCCCCCUCCCUGACCCCCAACUCCUUUGAUGACAAGAGUGGUUUUGGCUGUUGUGGUCACUGGUUGCUUUGAAAUAAU